GUGAUCGCCUUCAUCUCUUACUGCAUUGGUUAAUGUCUUCCUUUACUUGAUUAAAUUACCUCAGUGUGCCUUUAAUGGUGUUGGCUGCCUGGAUGCAUUAUAUAUUGAUACCCAAGAGACAAAGAUGCAAUAACCGGAAGGUUUUACAUUAUUGAUCGUAUCAGUAGCUGAAGAUUUGUGCUGGCCUUCAAAUUUUGCCAUUGAUUGGUGACUGAAUUCAAGGUGAUCUAAAAGAAUCAGAGAGAAUGCAAUUUUCUGAUACCACCUUGGAAAAGACAUUGCUGCUAAGAAAGGGGCCGUGGACAAUUCUGAUUUGAUGGAGACAGACGUGAGAAGCACAGAGGAACAUCCGGAGAAAUUUCAGAAAUGCCCGGUUUGCUGCCGCUGCUAGUGUGCGAUUGAGAAUCUCCGGAGGGAAGGCCCCAAAAUCCCCGGCUUUGCCUGCUACUGGCUACCGAGGCUGCGGUCGAAGCGUUCGGCAGAGAUGGUGCUCGGUACUCUGUGUUGGAGGGCUGAUCAGAGCUCGAAGUUUUCGGACAACUCAGAGUCGGACUGUGGUCGGGCAUGGCAGGGAGAGUUUUCUUCCUUCUCCCGUCUGUGUGAGAUGUGGGAGUUUUGAGAGACUUUGAACUUUUCUGCUGUGCCAUGGCCUGUUCUUUAUCAAGUUAUGGUAUUGUUGCACUAUUGUAAAUAUAUGCUAUAAUUAUGUGGUUUUUGUCAGUUUUUCCAGUCUUGGUCUGUCCUGUGUUUCUGUGAUAUCACACCGGAGGAAUAUUGUAUCAUUUCUUAAUGUAUGCAUUACUAAAUGACAAUAAAAGAGGACUGCGUGUCCUCAUAAUCUGAUCUAAUUAUAACUCUACCCCCCCGAUAGUCUGUAGGAGAGUCCAUAUCAGAGUUGAUCAAUCUUUGUUUGAAUACAUUUCCAGCCACGUUUUCACAACUCCACAUCCUUCUUUCUCAACUUUCACAGUUUAAGUAUUAUACUUUUUAGAAAUAUUGAAUAUUUCUGCCAAAUAACCUAUCAGAUGCCUUUUUAAGUGGAAGCUUAAAUACAAGUCAUUUUUACAUGUCAAUAUUCUUGACAUUAGAACAGCACAUAGUGCGUUAAAGUGUGACUCAAUCAUGACUUUUCAACAACUUAUUCUAUUCUUCGUUAAAAUUAAUUUUGUUGAUUUUUAUUGUGCACGAGUUGGACAUUUAAAUAAGGCUACCAAUAUUACCAGUUCCCUCAAUAUUUUCAAACUAUUUCAACAUAGAAUGGAGAUAGAUAGACAAGGAUUGGAAACAAUGCAAAGCCAAGAGAGACUAAAGGGCACUGGAUUUGAAUUUGUUUUCAUUUGUAUUAACUUGCUCUUCACAAUGUAGCAGUGAGGAAAGUACAAUGGUUAGAUACGAGUACGGAAAGAGACAGUAAGAAUAUUUGAGCCAAGAGAAGAGUGGACAGUAGAUGUGAAAAAACUGAGCAGCAACUGCUGAAGCUCUCCUUUGAAGAGUAAGGAGAGUACUUCCAAAUUAUUUAAACUGGAUAAAAUUCACUCAACACAAAGAACAGUGAUUACGUUCUGGGGAAAAAAAAAAUCAGAAAUGAUAAUGAAGAAUUUGUUUGGGUCUUUGGGUGGGAGGCAAUAUUCAUGCGGUAGUAACAGACAAAAUAAAAACGCUAUUAAACAAAAAUUGACUGCUUUCUUAAAUUCCUCUAGAGCAGGGGUUACCAAACUGGGGUACACAGACUCCUCAGUUAAUUGUAGGGGUCCAUGGCAUUAAAAAAAAGGAUGGGAACCCCUGCUCUAGAUAGUGGACUGGUUAGCAACCACAUGUCUACCUCUGAGAAAAAUCCAAUUCACCCAUUUCUGCAUUUGAUUCCAAUUUUAACAUUCAAUCCACUCACUUUUAGGACUAAAAUUGCCCAGGUUGCUCACUCAAUAUUGAUUCAAUCAAUAUUAGUAAUCAAUAAGAGAAAGAAAAAAUUAGUCAUAUGGGAAAGCAAAUGCUAGAGAAAUAACCAUAUAUAGCAUCAACUAAUUGUUUAAUAGUUUUCUAGAGUAUAUGGAAGACAAUAGA